rnacentral:rRNA from 1 species
GAUGAACGCUGGCGGCGUGCCUAAUACAUGCAAGUCGAGCGAACAGACGAGGAGCUUGCUCGUCUGACGUUAGCGGCGGACGGGUGAGUAACACGUGUAUAACCUACCUAUAAGACUGGGAUAACUUCGGGAAACCGGAGCUAAUACCGGAUAAUAUAUUGAACCGCAUGGUUCAAUAGAGAAAGACGGUUUUGCUGUCACUAAUAGAUGGUUCCGGGCCGCAUUAGCUAGUUGGUACGGUAACGGCUUACCAAGGCUACGAUGCGUAGCCGACCUGAGAGGAUGAUCGGCCACACUGGAACUGAGACACGGUCCAGACUCCUACGGGAGGCAGCAGUAGGGAAUCUUCGGCAAUGGGCGAAAGCUUGACGGAGCAACGCCGCGUGAGUGAUGAAGGUCUUCGGAUCGUAAAGCUCUGUUAUUAGGGAAGAACAGAUGUAUAAGUAAAUAUGCACGUCUUGACGGUACCUAAUCAGAAAGCCACGGCUAACUACGUG